rnacentral:rRNA from 1 species
UACGUAGGUGGCGAGCGUUGUCCGGAUUUACUGGGCGUAAAGAGCGCGCAGGCGGUCGUUCAAGUCGCGUGUGAAAGCCCCCGGCUCAACUGGGGAGGGUCACGCGAUACUGAUCGACUCGAAGGCAGGAGAGGGAAGUGGAAUUCCCGGUGUAGUGGUGAAAUGCGUAGAUAUCGGGAGGAACACCAGUGGCGAAGGCGACUUCCUGGCCUGUUCUUGACGCUGAGGCGCGAAAGCGUGGGGAGCAAACAGG